CCUACGGGGGGCAGCAGUGGGGGAUAUUGCACAAUGGGGGAAACCCUGAUGCAGCAACGCCGCGUGAGUGAAGAAGUAUUUCGGUAUGUAAAGCUCUAUCAGCAGGGAAGAGAAUGACGGUACCUGACUAAGAAGCCCCGGCUAACUACGUGCCAGCAGCCGCGGUAAUACGUAGGGGGCGAGCGUUAUCCGGAUUUACUGGGUGUAAAGGGAGCGUAGACGGCUGGUCAAGUCUGAAGUGAAAGCCCGGGGCUUAACCCCGGAACGGCUUUGGAAACUGAGCAGCUAGAGUGCUGGAGAGGUAAGCGGAAUUCCUAGUGUAGCGGUGAAAUGCGUAGAUAUUAGGAGGAACACCAGUGGCGAAGGCGGCUUACUGGACAGUAACUGACGUUGAGGCUCGAAAGCGUGGGGAGCAAACAGGAUUAGAUACCCCUGUAG
rnacentral:rRNA from 1 species